GACGAACGCUGGCGGCGUGCCUAAUACAUGCAAGUAGAACGCUGAAGAGAGGAGCUUACUCUUCUUGGAUGAGUUGCGAACGGGUGAGUAACGCGUAGGUAACCUGCCUUGUAGCGGGGGAUAACUAUUGGAAACGAUAGCUAAUACCGCAUAACAAUGGAUGACACAUGUCAUUUAUUUGAAAGGGGCAAUUGCUCCACUACAAGAUGGACCUGCUUUGUAUUAGCUAGUAGGUGAGGUAAUGGCUCACCUAGGCGACGAUACGUAGCCGACCGGAGAGGGGGAGCGGCAAAAAUGGAACUAGAAAAGGCCCAAGCCUCUAACGGGAGGCGCAAGAGGGAAACUUCGGGAAAGGGGGCAAAGCUGAACGAGCAAAGGCGCGUGAGUGGAGAAGGGUUUCGGAUCGGAAAGAUCUGUUUUAAGGCAAAAACGGGAGUGAGAGUGGAAAGUGCACACUGUGACGGUAGCUUACCAGAAAGGGACGGCUAACUACGUG
rnacentral:rRNA from 1 species